rnacentral:lncRNA from 1 species
AUAAGUAUGGAGGGUACUUGGUUCGAUGACACCGGUGGAGCAUAUUGCUGAUACCUCUGCUGCUUCUUCCCGUAAUUCUAGGGGUUUGAUGCAGACCCCUGAUUAAAAUUGGAACUUUGAAAAUUAUUGAAUGUUCAAUUUUAUCUAUUAGAUUGAUUUUCAUUCCAUCCAUACGUAUUUUCUAUUUGAACUUCAUUGACUUCCCAUUGAAUUAGUGGGAUCAUGGUCUGAUUACU